rnacentral:rRNA from 1 species
GUGGGGAAUAUUGGGCAAUGGAGGCAACUCUGACCCAGCCAUGCCGCGUGCAGGAUGACGGCCCUCUGGGUUGUAAACUGCUUUUAUACGGGAAGAAAAAAUACUACGUGUAGUAUACUGACGGUACCGUAAGAAUAAGGAUCGGCUAACUCCGUGCCAGCAGCCGCGGUAAUACGGAGGAUCCAAGCGUUGUCCGGAUUUAUUGGGUUUAAAGGGUGCGUAGGCGGAUCUUUAAGUCAGUGGUGAAAGCCUGCAGCUUAACUGUAGAAUUGCCAUUGAAACUGAAGAUCUUGAAUGUGGUUAAAGUAGGCGGAAUGUAUCAUGUAGCGGUGAAAUGCUUAGAUAUGAUACAGAACACCGAUAGCGAAGGCAGCUUGCUGAACCAUUAUUGACGCUGAGGCACGAAAGCGUGGGGAGCGAACAGGAUUAGAUACCCCAGUAGUCC